rnacentral:rRNA from 1 species
ACCAAUUGUUGCCUCGGCGGAUCAGCCCGCUCCCGGUAAAACGGGACGGCCCGCCAGAGGACCCCUAAACUCUGUUUCUAUAUGUAACUUCUGAGUAAAACCAUAAAUAAAUCAAAACUUUCAACAACGGAUCUCUUGGUUCUGGCAUCGAUGAAGAACGCAGCAAAAUGCGAUAAGUAAUGUGAAUUGCAGAAUUCAGUGAAUCAUCGAAUCUUUGAACGCACAUUGCGCCCGCCAGUAUUCUGGCGGGCAUGCCUGUUCGAGCGUCAUUUCAACCCUCAAGCCCCCGGGUUUGGUGUUGGGGAUCGGCGAGCCCUUGCGGCAAGCCGGCCCCGAAAUCUAGUGGCGGUCUCGCUGCAGCUUCCAUUGCGUAGUAGUAAAACCCUCGCAACUGGUACGCGGCGCGGCCAAGCCGUUAAACCCCCAACUUCUGAAUGUUGACCUCGGAUCAGGUAGGAAUACCCGCUGAACUUAAGCAUAUCAAUA